AAGGAAAACUAGGAUAAAAGUAAAAGGACGUAAAAGAAAACGAAAAGUCUUUCAGAGAAAAGAAGAAGAAAGAAUAUCCUUCAGUGAAAACAGAAAAAAGAAACCUGGAGAAAUGAAACAUCAGAGUAACCAGAGAAGAAAUCAAACGAGAGUUCAUUAGUAGUGGCGAACGAACGUGAAGAAGUCAAAGAGUAGUACAUAAGAAAGUAUGAAGAAAGGUGAACCAUCAUCUAAGACUAAAAAGACUUUUAUACCGAUAGUGAACAAGUACUGUGAAGGAAAGUUGAAAAAGAAUAGCAAAGCUAUAGUGAAAAAGAACAGAAAUUGCGGAUAUGAGAGAAUCUGAAGCAAAAAAGUAAUGUAACAGAGUACCUUUUGUCUAAGGGAUUUACAAGUAUUUAUUUCUUGCAAGCUAAAUUAGAAAAGUAGGCAAAGUGAAAACGAAAAGAGUAAGAGGUAAAUGACCCGAGACCAUGUGAUCUUACCAUGUCCAGAGGGAAGUAUGAAGAAAUUCAUAUGGACGCUCGAACCCGUAUUUGUCGCAAUAAAUUGGGAUGAGGUGUGGUAAGUGGUGAAAUGCUAAUCGAACAUGGAAAUAGCUGGUUCUUGGUGAAAUAUUUAUAAGAAUAGUCUAUAAGAAGUAACUUUUUAGGGUAAAACACUGUAUUUUCUACUGGCUCAAAGACUUGAGAACAUAGAAUGUAUAAUUUAUGAAUAUAAAAAGUAAGUAUUAUGGAAUCGGAAUUAUUGCGAUAAGGUAAUAAUUCGAGAGGGAAACAACCCAGAACUAUAGUUAAGAUCUCUAAUAUCUAUCUUAGUGUUAAAGGAAGUCAGAUUUUUUAGACAAUCUAUAAGUAGGCUUGGAGACAGCCAUCUUUUAAAGAAAACGUAAUAGUUUAUAGACCUUAGAGAUCAGCACCGAAAAUAUAGGAGGCUGAAGAUAGAAAUCGAAACUUAGUUUAUUAAAUUAAGGUAACCAAGCGUUCUAUGUAAAAGAAAAAUAAAGAAAACUAAACAUAGAAGUGACAAUGUAAAUAUGAGUAACGAUAAUUCAAGUGAAAAUCUUGAACACCUUAAACCCAAGGUUUCCAAUUCUCUGAUAAUCAUAAUUGGGUAAAUCAGUCCCUAAGUAAAAAGCGAAAGUUGUAUACGAUGGGGUAACUUCUAAACAUUAAGAAUUUUAACACCUUUGGGUAUUUAAAUAUUAAUCAGGAAAAAAGAAGUUGAAAAAAACUGUACUAAAUCUAACACAAGUGGGUAAGUAGAAUAUAUGAAGGUGAUGAAAUAAUAAUCUUGAAGGAACUCGGCAAAAUGAAUCCGUAAGUUCGCAAGAAGGAUAUAAAGAGAGAAGGUCGACUAUUUACCAAAACUACAGGCUCUUGCGAAAUCGUAAAGAUGAUGUAUAAGAGUUGACUCCUGCCCAAUGGUUAAACCUUAAAAGUUAUUGUUAAAAGCUUUAACUCUAUGACUAACUAAAUGGCCGCGAUAUUCCUGAUCGUGAAAAUGUAGCGCAAUCAAUAGUCUAUUAAUUGUAGACAAGUAUGAAUGGAGUAACGAAUCUUCUACUGUCUCCAAGGUUAUUUCAGUGAAAUUAAAAUAAGAGUAAAGAUGCUCUUUAAACGCUAUAAGACAAGAAGACCCUAUCUGCCUUACUGUAUCCUCUUUUUGUUUUCUAUUUCUUUUCANNAGUGAAAUACCAUCGGUUGAGAAAAAAUAGAACUAAUGUUGAGAGAGAGUGUCAGUCUUAUUGGGGCGAUAGUCUUUUAAAAGGUAACAAAGACUCGCAAUAGGUUAAUUCAUAGAGAAUAGAUAUCUCUAGUUGAAUGUAAAUGUAAAAAUUAGCUUGACUGUAAGUUGUAUUUAACGAACAGGGUGGAAACACGGUAUUAGUGACCCACUACUUUUGUAUGGAAUAGGUAGUGAUCAUAAGCUAGGUAACAAUAGGGAUAACAGGCUUAUACCCUCUUAGAGUUCUUAUCGAAGAGGGUGUUUGGCACCUCGAUGUUGAAUCGCCACAUCCUGGAGGAGCAGGUUCUUCCAAGGGUUUUUCUGUUCGAAAAUUAAAGUGGU
rnacentral:rRNA from 1 species